rnacentral:rRNA from 1 species
GAGUUUGAUCGUGGCUCAGGAUGAACGUUAGCGGCGUGCCUAACACAUGCAAGUCGAACGAACAGCCAGAAUCUUAGGAAUCUGGCGGGUUAGUGGCGCACGGGUGAGUAACACGUAGGUGACCUGCCCCGAAGUGGGGGACAACCACUGGAAACAGUGGCUAAUACCGCAUGUGCUUAGCCAUUCGGUUGGUUAAGUAAAGCUGAGGCGCUUCGGGAGGGGCCUGCGGUCGAUUAGCUAGUUGGUGAGGUAAUGGCUCACCAAGGCGAUGAUCGAUAGGGGGCGUGAGAGCGUGACCCCCACCACUGGGACGUGAGACACCGGCCCGACG